rnacentral:lncRNA from 1 species
GUGAAAGCUUCAGAGCAGAUUUGGCACUGAAAGAUACUGUCAAGCAUUCACCAAGGAAAUGGAGGACAUGUUGGUGUGACAUGGUGGUGGACAGGUUGGUACCUGGUGUGGUCUGGAUGCUGUUCCCUCUAAAUCUCAUGUGGAAAGGUCAUCCCCAUGUCAGAGGUGGGGCCUGAUGGGAAGUGCUUGGGUCAUGGGAGUGGAUCCCUCAUGGCUUGGUGCCAUCCUUGCCAUAGUGAGUUCUUUUUUUUUU